AGGAACGUAGCACAGUCCGGUAGUGCACAUCUCUGAUAAGGAUGCGGUCAUGGGUUCAAAUCCCAUCGUUCCUA
rnacentral:tRNA from 1 species